UAGCGUAGGUGGCAAGCGUUGUCCGGAAUUAUUGGGCGUAAAGAGCGCGCAGGCGGUCGUUCAAGUCGAGUGUGAAAGCCCCCGGCUCAACUGGGGAGGGUCUUCGAUACUGAUCGACUCGAAGGCAGGAGAGGGGUAGUGGAAUUCCCGGUGUAGUGGUGAAAUGCGUAGAUAGUCGGAGGAACACCAGUGGCGAAGGCGACUACCUGGCCUGUUCUUGACGCUGAGGCGACGAAAGCUGAGGGGAGCAACGGGG
rnacentral:rRNA from 1 species